rnacentral:rRNA from 1 species
UGAGGAAUAUUGGGCAAUGCCCGCAAGGGUGACCCAGCAACGCCGCGUGGAGGAUGAAUGUCGUAAGAUUGUAAACUCCUGUUAGAGGGGAAGAAUAGUACCGGUUGGACCGGUAUAUGACUGUACCCUCAGAGAAAGCCCCGGCUAACUACGUGCCAGCAGCCGCGGUAAUACGUAGGACCCAAGCGUUGUCCGGAUUUACUGGGUGUAAAGGGUGCGCAGGCGGAUGGGUAAGUCAGGGGUGAAAGUCUGCAGCUUAACUGUAGAAUUGCCUUUGAUACUGCUCAUCUUGAGUGUGGGAGAGGUUGAUGGAAUUCCAGGUGUAGCAGUGAAAUGCGUAGAUAUCUGGAAGAACACCAGUGGCGAAGGCGGUCAACUGGCCCAUAACUGACGCUCAUGCACGAAAGCGUGGGGA